AACGCACCUUGCACUCCUUGGUAUUCCGAGGAGUAUGCCUGUUUGAGUGUCAUUAAAUUAUCAACCUUACCAGCUUUUGCGAGCUUGUGUAAUGGCUUGGAUGUUGGGGGUCUUGCUGGCUUCGGUCUGCUCCCCUUAAAUGCAUUAGCCGGUGCCCCACGUGGAACCGUCUAUUGGUGUGAUAAUUAUCUACGCCGUGGACGUCCACUUCAAUGGGUUGUGCUGCUUCUAACCGUCUGUUCAUUCAGACAAUUAUGACAAUUUGACCUCAAAUCAGGUAGGACUACCCGCUGAACUUAA
rnacentral:misc_RNA from 1 species